CCUACGGGAGGCAGCAGUGGGGAAUAUUGGGCAAUGGGCGCAAGCCUGACGCAGCAACGCCGCGUGAAGGAAGAAGGCUUUCGGGUUGUAAACUUCUUUCCUUAGGGACGAAGAAAGUUACGGUACUUGAGGAAUAAGCCACGGCUAACUACGGGCCAGCAGCCGCGGUAAUACGUAGGAGGCAAGCGUUAACCGGAUUGAGUGGGUGUAAAGGGCGUGAAGGCGGGGGCGCAAGUCAGAUGUGAAGACCCAGGGCUCAACCCUGAGCCUGUAUUUGAAACUGUGUUUCUUGAGUGCUGGAGAGAGAAGCGGAAUUCCGUGUGUAGCGGUGAAAUGCGUAGAUAUACGGAGGAACACCAGUGGCGAAGGCGGAUCGCUGGAAAGUAACUGACGCUGAGGCGCGAAAGCGUGGGGAGCAAACAGGAUUAGAUACCCCUGUAGUC
rnacentral:rRNA from 1 species